CCUACGGGUGGCAGCAGUGGGGAAUAUUGGGCAAUGGAGGCAACUCUGACCCAGCAAUGCCGCGUGAGUGACGAAGGUAAUUUUAUUGUAAAGCUCUUUUCUUUGGGACGAAUAAAUGACGGUACCAAAGGAAUAAGCCCCGGCUAACUACGUGCCAGCAGCCGCGGUGAUACGUAGGGGGCAAGGGUUCUUCGGAAGGACUGGGUGUAAAGGGUGUGUAGGUGGUUUGAUAAGUUAGAUGUGUAAUACCCAGGGCUUAACGCGGGUGCUGCAUCUAAUACUGUUAGGCUUGAGUACUGGAGAGGAUAGUGGAAUGCGUAGUGUAGCGGUGGAAUGCGUAGAUAUUAGGAGGAACACCAGUGGCGAAGGCGACUAUCUGGACAGCAACUGACACUGAGGCACGAAAGCGUGGGGAGCAAACAGGAUUAGAUACCCGUGUAGUC
rnacentral:rRNA from 1 species